rnacentral:lncRNA from 1 species
UAGUAAAACGAGAGCAAGAACACUCACCAGGUUGAUUUGAGAUUCCGUCACAGCGGCGCAACGGGGCUCUAUCGUCUUAGUUCUUUUUCCCUGGUGUUCUUUUCUCUCGAUUAUGUCGAAUCCUAGUGGAAUUACAAUCGAAAUCAAUUAAAAACAUGAAAGGGAAGAUUUUUCAGAGAAAAGAGGAAAAAAAUCAGGCUUAUUGGCAUCAGUUGGGUCUUUGACACAGUAGUGUCGUUGUUGCUAUGUCGUAUGCGCUCUCUCCAGUCUCCCUUACCGCUUCUUCUCUAGUCGACUGUGUCAGCU